rnacentral:rRNA from 1 species
UUUAAAGUYUAAUCUGCUCCMUGAAUAAUUAAAUAGCUGCAGUAUUUUGACUGUACAAAGGUAGCAUAAUCAAUAGUUUUUUAAUUUAAAGCUGGAAUGAAUGAUUUAAUGAAAUAAUUUCUGUCUCAAAUUAAAUAAUUUUAUAAUUUUUUUUUUAGUGAAAAAGCUAAAUUGAUUUUAAAAGACGAGAAGACCCUAUAGAAUUUUAUAAUUUUUAAUUUAAAUAUUUUUAUAUUUGAAAUUUAUUUUAAAAUUUAUUGGAUUGGGGAAAUUAUUAAAUUUAAAAAAUUUUAAUUAUUUUUAAACAAAAAUUAUUGAAUAAAUGAAUUUGAUAUUUUAAGUAAAUAGAAUAAAUUACCUUAGGGAUAACAGCGUAAUUUUUUUAGAGAGUUCUUAUUAAUAAAAAAGUUUGCGACCUCGAUGUUGAAUUAMAAUAAAAUUUUAMUGGAGAAUUUAAAAAUUUUUGGUCUGUUCGACCAUUAAUAUUUUAC